GAUGAACGCUGGCGGCGUGCUUAACACAUGCAAGUCGAACGGACCUAGUCUUUCGGGAUUGGGUUAGUGGCAGACGGGUGCGUAACACGUGGGUGACCUGCCCUGGAGUGGGGAAUAAUCUUACGAAAGUGAGACUAAUACCGCAUAGGCUUAGUGAUGCGAGUUACUGAGUAAAGCCUUUGGGUGCUCUGGGAUGGGCCUGCGGCGGAUUAGGUAGUUGGUGGGGUAAAGGCCUACCAAGCCGAUGAUCCGUAGGGGGCGUGAGAGCGUGGCCCCCCACACUGGCACUGAGAUACGGGCCAGACUCCUACGGGUGGCAG
rnacentral:rRNA from 1 species